GUCCAAGGUGUAAUGGUUAGCACUUUUGGCUUUGAAGCCAGCGCUCCGCGUUCGCAUCCCGGUAGGACC